AAAAACCCUCCCAUCAGUCUGCGGCCGCUGCUCCGGCACCACAGCCAGGGUGCAACCCUGCAGCGUGGGUGGGGUGAGGACCCCAGGCAGAGCCACGGUGGGCACCCAGCGGCCGAGCAGAGGUGUGGGAUGUGGGCAGCGUCUGCCCCACGUGCAGCCUGAGGUCAGCCUGCAAGUAUGCCGGGAGCUGCAGGGCUCGGCAACAGCUGCUGAAUAUGACAAAACUUCUUAUUCCCCUAAACUAAAGCUAUUCCAAACUCUGUACGAAAGAAAUGGGAUAAACAGAUGUCUGGCUGCCCGACAGGAAAGUGGGACACACGAGGAAUGAUAAAGUCUCCAAACCCUGCAGCGCCAUGCCAGCCUCAUUUCCCAGGGACACUUUUCCUGCAGCAUCUCUUUACCGACCGCCCUGCACUUUCUGCUGGUUUGUUGGUGACUCCGCGCGUUGCUGCGCCGUGCGAACAGCCCUGAUGUGGCAGAGGACACCUCAACGUGCACAGCAGCAAAAGUGUGCACACUCAGGCACACUGCGUGAGGAAACGACACUGAGCCAACUACCGGAGCGGUAACACUUCGUAUGGGAAAGUGUAAACCGAGCCAGGGGUCUGCUGGGGGAACGCUGCUCUGCGACGCUAAGGAGGAAACACAAACCCGAAACCCAACACCACCAACCCAUGUAGGUAACCAACCAACUACCAACGCGCAGAGCCAGCAAACGUGAAUUUGGGGACCUGGAAAUACACUCUGGUGGUGUCAGAGGACCGGUGCCCUCACAGAGCUUUUCCACACGCGCGCUUUCCUUCUGUGUUCUCUGCAAUGUGCUCAGCUGCUGAACGCUGCACUCUAGAGUUGCUUUAAAAGCACAUGGUGGGACACAGAGGACCGUCCCGAGCCCCCGCUCAGCCCCAUGUGUGUGCACAGCCCUGCAGCUCUGGCUGCUCUUUGCAAGGCUGCCAUACACGCCGUCCUCAUAAAAACAAAAUCUUGAAAAUUCCUAAUGUGGAAGGUGAUUAAAAUUCCUAUAAAAUUGUCAUAUCUUUAAAUUUAGAAGCACGGCAGAUUUUUCAUCAAUAAUUAAGAUCUCUAAAGCAUUUAUGCUAGGCAUAAAUGGAGUUUCAAUCUUCCUUAUUCAAAUAAACAUGAUAAACCCAUUAACCAAAUGUUUUCUGAUUUUUUAUAUCUUCUCAUGCUUCUGGAAUACCAAACUGUAACGCACUUCUGCUCAUCUGGGGGAGGUAGAAAAGCACUGACACUGCGCAGCUUGUUCUGAUUUUGUUGGGAUCGCCCCUCACAGAACCGACGUAACGUAGCUCACGGUGACUCUGGAACAUUACUAUGUAUAUAUCAUUAUAACCCCUAAUCACCGAAAAGUGUUAUUCAUGCCACAUUUCAUCGUGCGAACAGACCAUAAACACAAACUCCAUGCAAACUGCUCUGUGUAGUUCAAUAGGCACGAAAUGAGCGCUCCAACCAUAUCUCUAAAUUAGAGCCCGACCGAGCACAGAAGAGCAAAACAUCCCUCUCAUUUUCCUUCCCGGUUAAUUUUCAUAGCGUUCCAUUGCAUUCACACUUUAAUGCGAUUCACCACUGACGCCGCAAAAGUCACACAUCUCUUGCAAACUCGGAACAAUGAGCGCUCCCCUAAUCCAAUAACGCACACUGCACCGCCGCCGCUCCUCCGCCACACCAACAUUCCUCCACUUCCAACUAUUUUUCAGCCAACAUAGCAGAAAUAAAUUCGGCUCGCGAGGCAACAACCCGGCGCUAUAUGAUUUCCAUAGCUAAAACACUAAAGGCAAAUAUAAUUCUAUUGAUUUUUGUAGUCGGAGUUCUAUAAAGUGUUGAACUUGUUCUCAAUUGCCUGACACAAUCCCAGAGUGAUGGCAACAACUGGUCAGCCCUAUUUGAUUACUAAUAAGAGAGAUGUCCCUUCUGUCAGAUACCUCACAUUCUCCACUAAGCAAACAGCUAUUUCAGCUAGUUAAACAUUAGCAUUGCUCUCCACUGGUGGUGCAUAUUUCUUUAGGCUUAACUCGCGGAGUUUUCCAGGUUUAAUUUUUCAGUCGCUGGACAGCAAAGUUCAUGAUCAAAAGAUAACUUUGUAAUGAAAGCUCCUGAAACGCGACCUCCUUGCAGACAGACCGGCCCUCUCCUCCCAUCCCGGUGUCACACGGAUGUGUCUCACUGCCAUUUAUUACUCCGAGGUACCGAUUCCAUCAUCUACGCUCAAUCAGAAAUCGACAUUUGCUGCUACCACAGCGUUGGAAAAAAAAAGAAUUGCUUCUCGGCUGCCAAAAAUAUCAUCUUUUCCGAUUACAAUAAUGCCAAAGCAGAUUGACCUGACACGGGUGGCAAAUAUUUCUGAAAAUAUGUUCUUUUGCGACCAAACAGAUAAGAGCAGAGCGAAGGAUGCGUGCGGUUAAUCCCGGUAUGUAAAUGAACGUCGGGCUACGCAACCGGCAUGUGUAAUUAGUUUCAAUUAUGACAACUUUGGUUUAUUAGUUACAUAUUUGCUAUUUGACAUGAAAUGACGGCCGCAAUUGGGGGAAAAAAAAAUCGGGACGCAUCUCCCAAUUCAUUGAUAGAGGAUUAAAUCCAUCGCAGCGCCGGGCGACCGUCACACCACCGCACCGCCCAGCUCUGACCGAGGGCACCAUCAGCGACAAAAAUAAUGUAAAUACGAAAUGCUUGUUAACAAAUUAGCAAAAAGCGUUCCGUGACACAUCCCUGGCUUUAAAGCCCCAAACUCUCUAGGCAUAAAGUGCUCCUCGCUGCGAGAGCGGUGGCAGAUGAAACCGCUUCCCCUGACAACUGGCGAGCAAUUACCGAAUCCCCACAGAGCGAGCCGCCAGGUUGCCGAACCAGCCCACCUGUGCGCUCUGACACGGGGGGACAACGCCACGGAACGCGCCCGGCUGCGGGCCGGCAGAGCCGUCCUUACCUGUCAAUGAUAACGGGGUCGGAGGGGGUCUCGUUUCUGUUGCCACAACUUUUCUUGUCACAGCAUCGGCUGCACAUAAUCUCGUGCGUGAGCAGCACCCGGCACAUCUCGGGGUUCUUGUCCUGCCCCUCGUACACGAUCGCCUGUUUGGUCAUGGAGUCUAUGAGGCGCACGUAGAGGUCCUGCUCCGUCCUCACUCCAUUGCUAUACAAUAACUGAAGUUUAUAAUGAAUCCCAUUGUUAGUUUUUUCAUUGUUUGGCUCUUUCUCUUUCUCCACAAAGUCCACAAAAGCCGUUCUCUCAAUCUCCACCGGCUGCCCCUGCCUGUCGUACAGAGCUAAGACGAAGUGGAAAAAAUUGGAUUUUCUCAGGUUGGAAGGCGGCUGUUUCUCGAAAUGCGCCCGAGCCAGCCCUACGCCGCUGCGGGAGAGAACAAGACAAGGCGCGACGCGCUCAACGUGGUGUCAUCCUAGUAAAACAGCAUCAAAAAAGCUUCAGGACACUGCUGAAUCGACCACUUCUGGCAAGGCUCUCCUGCUCCAAAAGACAAAUAAACGAAAAAAUGAUUACCGCGGAGGUGUUCCCGGGCACAGGAGAGCGGGGCGCGGGCCCGUGGCGUCUCGCGGAAUGGACGGCGGCGCGCGGAGCCCGGCCCUCCCUCCCCGAGGAGCGCGCCCUUCCCGGGAGCCGGGCCCCGCACCGCGGGAGCCGCGCUGUCAGCGCUGACGCGCGCAGGGGCGGAGCCCGAGCCAUAUAUGGCCCGCACGGCCCGGCCCCGCGCCCGCGCCUCCGCCGCUGCAGCCGCCGCCGCCGCGCUCCUGCCGGCCCCUGUCGGCCCAGGCUGCUGCUGGUGGGGUGGGGUGGGGAGAGGGGGGGGUGUGGGUGGACAGAGGUGCGUGGUGAAGAGUCGGAAGGAGAUAAUUAAAGAGGGAGAUGAUGAGGGUUGGAAAAAGAAUGGGAAAGUGCGGUGAGCGAAGAGGAGAAAAAAAGAAAAAAAAGAAUUUAAAAUUAAAAAAAAAAAAGAAAAAAAAAGAAAAAAAACCCACAAAUAAGUAAUUAAUAAAUAAGCACUAAAAUAAAACCGGAGAACUUUAAGCCUAAAUGAUAAAAAUGAUAAGAAUAAGAAAUAAAAUAAACAAAAAAAUUAAAAUAAUGUUGAAAAAAAAAAUGAAAAGGGGAAGAAAAAAAAAAUAGAGUGAGUGCACUACGAGACCGUGGGAGGGAGGCUGGGGUUUGCCCCGCCGAGAAGAGCCUCGGCACCUGCCCACGAGCACAGGGGGUCCCGCCGCCCCGCACCUCUGCCCCGUGCGGCGCUGGGCCGCGGGGCGCUGCGAGCAGAGCGCGGCCUGGGGGUGACCGCUGGGGGCGGGGGGUGCCCGGGGGCGGACAAAGGCUGUGCUGGGCACCGUCCUGGGGAGAGGCAGAGCGCGGCCCUCCGCACACAGCCGCGCACACGCACACACACACACACGCACGCUCUCCCGCACGCGUGCGGUUGCGCUCUCAGCCCCGUGCCCGCGCAGCCCGCGCCGUGUGUGCGCGGAGCCGCCCUGCCCGCCGUGCGCGGCUCUUUCCGCCCGGCCCGGCCGAGGAGUUCCCCGCUCGGGUGAACCGCUGCGGUCCGGACGGUCGCGUUGCGACGAAUCGGUGCGAAUGGAAGUCCGCCCCGCGCUGUCGGGAAAGCCCGCUCCUUCCUCCGAGGGGUGAGGGAAAAGCUGCGUUAGAAAGCAAUCUAUUUUGCUGGUGUUGGGGGUUAAUGACUAUUGCCAAAGAUAAGUGAAUUAUCAAAGCUGUUGCUCUACCCGAUCUCAAAAUCCAUUACAUUGCUGGCCGUCUAAUUAAAUACGUAAGUAUAAUAAAAUCAUAUUUUAUGACUAUUUGAGGGUAAUGAGAUUAGUCUUUAGAAGCGAUCGCCACAUAUUAAAGAUGCCACUGUCUAUAGAAUGUUAAUAACCUUAAAUCAAAGUGUAUGGAAACUAUUCAUGAUAAAUUAAAAGAAAAUUCCCGUGUUCAUCAGCAGCGCGGAGCGGUGGAGGCGCAGCCCCAAAACGCGGCGGUGCCGCCGGGGGGGGAACGCAAAGCGGCCGUCCCAGCAGCGCUGCGCGGAUAUUUGGGCGCUCCGGGCGGGCGCGCAGAACGCGCGCACCUCAAAAGAGGCGAAAAAAUACGCGACGACGCCGCAACGGUGCGGUAUUUCCUACAGCGGAACAAUGCCGAAGUUGUCCCUUCCCCGUGCUAACGAAAGCGUAAUGCUUCAAAUCAUUUACAGUAUCUUUAAUUCAGAUUACACGCGCCGAGGCGAUUUAAAUCUGAUUACCAAAUUAGGGGGUUUUAAAACAAAUCCUUUUAAAUCUGAUACUGUUGACUAAAGAGGGGGGAAAAAAAGAAAGUUCCAUAAGCCCGUCGCAUAAGGUAACGAUCCUGCCCCAGAAAGAAAGGGAGUUUUAAACCUUUUUGACAACAAAUGCAGCUGCCCCACUAUUUUGGACGAUAUUAAGCGAAAAUGAAUGCAAAUCUGUGUUCAGAAGCCAUCUGGCCAGAAAUAGGGGAAUCAGCUGCUCCUCACAACAGGCUCUGAGGCUGAAUCUAUUUCAGCUCAUUUUCUAGAUCAUCUGGUCCUGCACCCAAAGCGUGGAAAAUACGGUCUUUAUCAUUCACCAACUUUAUGUUGUGGGGUUUGUUGGUUUUGUUUUGUUUUGUUUUUUUUCCCCCCUUCUCCCUUCAUUUUGCAGGGACGGCUCCGCGCUCCCCGCGCUCGGUCGGGCCCCGGCACCGCUCCUGUCCGCAGCCGCUCCGCACGGAGGGGCCCGGCCCGGCUCUCCCCUCUGACCCGGGACCUCGCGGGGCUUUUUGUUCCGCGGCCGCUCGGGGGGGUGGGCAGCACCUCGCUGCGAGGCCCGGCGCCGGGCGGGCAGCGGGCUGCAGGGGUUGCCGGGGGCGGCCCGGGCCCUCCCGGUUCC
rnacentral:lncRNA from 1 species